GCCCGCGUAGCUCAGGGGAUAGAGCAACCGCCUCCUAAGCGGUAGGUCGCAGGUUCGAAUCCUGCCGCGGGCA
rnacentral:tRNA from 1 species